GAUGAACGCUAGCUACAGGCUUAACACAUGCAAGUCGAGGGGAAACGCCAUCGAAAGCUUGCUUUUGAUGGGCGUCGACCGGCGCACGGGUGAGUAACGCGUAUCCAACCUGCCCACCACUUGGGGAUAACCUUGCGAAAGUAAGACUAAUACCCGAUGAUAUCUCUAUAAGACAUCUGAAAGGGAUUAAAGAUUUAUCGGUGAUGGAUGGGGAUGCGUCUGAUUAGCUUGUUGGCGGGGUAACGGCCCACCAAGGCGACGAUCAGUAGGGGUUCUGAGAGGAAGGUCCCCCACAUUGGAACUGAGACACGGGCCAAACUCCUACGGGAGGCAGCAGUGAGGAAUAUUGGUCAAUGGGCGAGAGCCUGAACCAGCCAAGUAGCGUGCAGGAUGACGGCCCUAUGGGUGGUAAACUGCUUUUAUAAGGGAAUAAAGUGAGUCUCGGGAGACUUUUUGCAUGUACCUUAUGAAUAAGGACCGGCUAAGUCCGUG
rnacentral:rRNA from 1 species